GGUUGAGUAGCCUAAAAAAGGUGUGACAUUGAAGCUGUUAAGAUGAUAUCCUAUAUCCCGGCCCA
rnacentral:tRNA from 1 species